GUCCUGGCUUCGACAGCACCCAUACUAGAAUUAGAACAGUACAGAGAAGGUUAGCAUGGCCCCUGCACAAGCACGACACACAAAUUCUCCCCUUAAAGACUU
ensembl:snRNA U6 U6 spliceosomal RNA